UAAAGAGGGAGCAAAAGAAAACGAAACCUGUCAGGAUACACACGUCUGUUUUCUACAGUCGUUGGUCUGUCCAUAGAAGGUUCUGAGCAGCUAGUUUGCGCUGUUCCUGAUCAUUCUUGAAACGAACUGGCUGGUUGUAUACAAUGAUAAACCGCUGUGGUCUGCUAACUCUCCAGAAGGAACCAGUUCCUCUGAAGAGCAUUGAGGUGGAGCUGGAGGUGAGGGACCAUGUGGCUACAGUGGUCUCCACUCUGAACUACGAGAAUAAGGAGGACAAACCAUUAGAGGCUGUUUUUGUCUUCCCUCUGCCUGGAGAUGCUGCUGUCUGUCAUUUCAGUGCUAAGAUUGGACAGACACAGAUUGUAGCUGAGGUGAAGGAGAAACAGAAGGCUCAUGAGGAGUAUGAUGAUGCUCUGAGCUGCGGUCAGCAGGCCUUCCUAUUGGAGGAGAGUGAUCAGAGUCCAGAUAUAUUCUCUCUGAGUGUGGGCAGUCUGCCUCCAGGAGAGAGCGCCUCCAUCAGGUUGGAGUACGUGACUGAGCUGGCUGUGCAGGCUGAUGAUGGUCUGAGGUUCUGUCUGCCUGCUGUGCUCAACCCUCGAUACCAGCCUCAGGGUAGUGAAGGUGCAGAAGUCCAGGUAACUUCUGUUCCAGCCUCUCUGGUGCCCUACAGCCUGUCUUUCUCUGCCCGAGUGUCCUCUCCUCGUCCAAUCUCUAAAGUAGAGUCCAACUGUUCCCUGGACCCUCUCCAGUACCUCAACACUGAUCAAACCCAGGCCACGGUCAAGCUGGCUGCAGGACACAAGUUUGACAGAGAUGUUGAACUGCUGAUUUAUUACAAAGAUGCCCACCAGCCCACUGCUGUGGUGGAGGGAGGACAGGCCUCUGCUGAGCCGGGCUCUCUGAUGGGUGAUCCAGUGGUGAUGGUCAGUCUGUAUCCUGAGUUCCCCCAGUCUGUGAUGUCUUCAAUGGCUUCAUGUGGAGAGUUUGUGUUUCUAAUGGAUCGGUCUGGAAGUAUGGGCUGUCCUAUCACAAACAGCAUGCAGCAGGAAACUCGCAUCAGCAGUGCCAGGGAUACUCUGCUGCUCCUGUUGAAGAGCUUACCAAUGGGCUGCUAUUUCAACAUUUACAGUUUUGGGUCCGGAUAUGAACACAUCUUCCCUAAGAGUGUGGAGUACAGCCAGCAGACCAUGGAGGAGGCUCUGAAGACAGUUGAGCAGAUGGAGGCUAAUCUUGGAGGAACUGAGAUCCUGCAGCCCCUCAAACAUAUUUACAGCCAGCCCUGCAUUCCCAAUCAGCCUCGACAGCUGUUUGUCUUUACUGAUGGAGAGGUGGGGCACACCAAAGAAGUGAUAGAUCUGGUGAAGAAGAAUUCAGGUUCUCACAGGUGUUUCUCUUUUGGGAUUGGGGAAGGGGCCAGCUCUGCUCUCAUCAAUGGGAUGGCCAAGGAAGGAGGAGGUCACGCUCAGUUCAUCACAGGGACUGACAGGAUGCAACCAAAAGUGAUGCAGUCGCUGCGAUUUGCUCUGCAGCCGGCUCUGGUCGACAUCUCAGUCACAUGGGAUUUACCAAAGGAAGUGUCUGUCACUGUCCUCUCUCCACCAAUCACAGCACUUUUCCAGGGUCAAAGGUCACUGAUUUAUGCCCAGCUCACUGGGCAGAGCUCAGAGGCAGCAGAGGGCUGUGUGACGGUGAAGUACAGCCUGGCAGGUCAUCCCUCUGAGAACCAGCUGCACUUCAGUCUCAGACCUGCAGAGGACACUGGGCUAACAGUCCACAGGUUGGGUGCUCGGACUCUGAUUCGCUCCCUGGAGAUGGAUGAGAGAGAGAGCAGAGGACAGCAAGAUGGAGGAGUGAAGGAGAAGGUGGUGCAGCUCAGUGUCCAAUCAGGAGUGAGCAGUUCUUUCACUGCCUUCAUUGCUGUCAACAAAGACAACAGCGAAGUGAUUCAGGGACCUCUUGUGCGCAGAAAUAUUCCAACGCCCUUUGCUCGCUUGAGGGGAGGUGGUUCACCAAUGUUUGCCAUGAGUUGUAUGAUGGGCAUGCCCGGGCCAAUGGGUCCUCCACGUCCCAUGGCGUCUAGGUCAAGCGCUGUGUUUGGUGCUUCAUCAGGAGGUACCAACAGAAAAAAAGCGGAGGCCCGAAAAACAGGUGGGGGUCCUCCACCACCACCACUCACAGAGGCGGAGCAGUUGGCCCUCAGCCAAAACAGUGGGCGCCCUGUGGCUGAAGGCAUCUCUGCGGGGACAUCCUCUGAGUCAAUAACCCCGCAAGACACAAGUGCCUACAUAAGAGUUUUGGACUAUGCGCUAUUGCGUGCUCCAAUGGACAUGAGUGCAGAAGCAAAGAGAAUGAAAAAAGGCAUCAGAUUCAGUAAAGUUGCUGCACCCGUGCAGCCACCCAGAGACCCUUUGCUGCACUUAGUCUCCCUGCAGGAGGCGUCUGGCUGCUGGCUGCUUGAUCCUGCUCUGGCUACUGCACUGAGAAAGACCAACAAGGAGGUGGAAAAGUCAAAGCCUGAAAAGGCCAACAGUGAAGUGUGGGCCACCAUUCUGGCUCUGAUCUGGCUUCAUGCUUUCAAGAUGGAUGCAAAGGACGAGUGGGAGCUUCUGGCUAUGAAGGCUGCCUCAUGGCUCCGUGCUCAGAAUGCGCCGUGUGUGACAGAGUGUGUGGAUGCUGGAAAUGUCCUGUUGUGUUGCAGCGUGAGGAAAGAAGCUCUGGGCCUCUGAGGGGUUUCUUAAAGUGGCUUCACCUUCAGGGCUUAGAGGGAACAUGUUCUGCCCGGUGGUGUAGGGUCCUGAUUACUCCAAGUUUGUGUUCCAGCGGGUGAUGGGAGUCAAAAAGGAGGUACUGGUCCGUGUGUGUGGGCUUCCGGUAAACUUCGAUGUUGAGGUUGCCAUUCUCUUCAAUGUGCACGGCGCAGUCCAGGAAAGGCAAACAAAGGAAGAGUACCCAGCCAGUGGUACAGAUAUGUAGAUGACACCUGGGUCAAAAUCAAGACACAAGAAGUGGAAUCCUUCACUGCGCACAUUAACGCCGUGGAUAAAAACAUCAAGUUCACCAGGGAAGACACAAAGGAUAACUGUUUGCCUUGUCGGAUGCAGAAAGCUGUCUCAGAGAUCUAAGCUGUCUGUUUCCACAGUUAGGAACAUAGUGAGAAAAUGGAAGAUCGCAGGCUCAGUUCAAGUUAAGGCUCAAAGUGGCAGACCAAGAAAAAUCUCGGAUAGACAGAAGCGACAAAUGGUGAGAACAGUCUGAGUCAACCCACAGACCAGCACCAAAGACCUACAACAUCAUCCUACAGUAGAUGGAGUCACUGUGCAUCGUUCAACCAUUCGGCGCACUUUACACAAGGAGAUGCUGUAUGUGAGAGUGAUGCAGAGGAAGCCUUUUCUCCGCCCACAGCACAAACAGAGCCACUUGAGGUAUGCUAAAGCACAUUUGGACAAGCCAGCUUCAUUCUGGAAUAAGGUGCUGUGGACUGAUGAAACUAAAAUUGAGUUAUUUGGGCAUAACAAGGGGCGUUAUGCAUGGAGGAAAAAGAACACAACAUUCCAAGAAAAACACCUGCUACCUACAGAAAAAUAUGGUGGUGGUUCCAUCAUGCUGUGGGGCUGUGUGGCCAGUGCAGGGACUGGGAAUCUUGAGUUGAGGGACACAUGGAUUCCACUCAGUAUCAGCAGAUUCUGGAGACCAAUGUCCAGGAAUCAGUGACAAAGCUGAAGCUGCGCUGGGGCUGGAUCUUUCAACAAGACAACGACCCGAAACACUGCUCAAAAUCCACUAAGGCAUUCAUGCAGAGGAACAAGUACAACGUUCUGGAACGGCCAUCUCAGUCCCAGACCUGAAUAUUAUUGAGAAUCUGUGGUGUGAGUUAAAGAGAGCUGUCCAUGCUCGGAAGCCAUCAAACCUGAAUGAACUAGAGAUGUUUUGUAAAGAGGAAUGGUCCAAAAUACCUUCAACCACAAUCCACUCUCAUUGGAACCUACAGGAAGCGUUUCUGCAAAAGGCGGAUCUACUAAAUAUUUAUUUCAUUUCUUUUUUUGUGGUGCCCAAAUUUAUGCACCUGCCUGAUUUGGUUAAACAAUUAUUGCACACUUUCUGUAAAUCCAAUAAACUUCAUUUCACUUCUCAAAUAUCACUGUGUGUGUCUCCUAUAUGAUAUAUUUAACUGACAUUUUUUAUUGUAACAACCAACGAUUUAUACAGGAAAAUAAUGACUAAGGUUGACAAGGUUGCCCAAACUUUUGCAUCCCACUGUAUAGUAAACCAACAUGUCUUAUACAUUAGCAUGUAUAAGGGAACACUGAACGACCUGGUGGUUUUUGUCCAUAAAACUACUCAUCGAAGAUUACCACAAAAUUAUCAAUUUCACCUGUGAUCUUCUAUCACAGGUGAAAUUGAUCUCUGAGCUUUGUUGGUUCUUCUGUCACCUGACAAAUAGGACAUACGUGACAAUAAGAAUAAAAUGUGUAGCUGCUUCAGUGCUUCUGUCAAUUUGUGCAGAUCUUGACUCAUCAGUAAUGUUUGUAGGGUGAGUGCAUUUUUAAAACAAUUUGUAGAAAUAUCAUGACUACGUCAUGAUACGUCAUGAUAUUUUGUCUCAAAAAUUAACCCUAUGAAUAUGUCAGUACCAUUAGGAUGAAAUUGUGUCACCAACAUUUUAACGUUAGACAUAUAAUUUUAACAGCCUCUAUAAACUAAUAUCCUGGCUUGCUCGAGGCUGCCGUUUUCUCUGACACAUUCAAUCAAAAUUAGAAAUGCUAGUCUGGGAGACUGAGAUAAGUAAUAGUGCUGCCUGUUGUGCAGUUAGUUUCCAAAACAUGUUAUUCAUGGUUACAUACAAUUUUAGACUGAUGUGGGCCAAAGCCUAGCAUAGCCUGUAACGUUAUUAUGAUGGACACAUUUUAUGAGUGAACUUGACUUUAAGUGACUUACAGGUUUCUUUGAAAAAUACUUUCUUGUAUCCACGUUCUUCCUUUUUUGCUGCCAUCUUCCUCUUCUCGUUGCAGGUCCUUGCAGUGCAGGCUUGUCGCUGCUUACACUAAACAGAGCUCCCUGAAAGGCAUUGGCAUUGGCCAUAUUUGUCACAUGAGGCCAACAGUGAAGUGUGGGCCACCAUUCUGGCUCUGAUCUGGCUUCAUUCUUUCAAGAUGGAUGCAAAGGACGAGUGGGAGCUUCUGGCUAUGAAGGCUGUCUCAUGGCUCCGUGCUCAGAAUGAUCGUAGCAAUGAUAAUAACAGAUAAAUGAUUUUAAAAAUGCUUUAUGCUACAGUAUAAUUUUGUUUUGGAAAAGUGAAAAAUUUUGUUUAGACUUUUUACUUUAUUCAAAAUUGUAAUCAUAGUUAAUUAGCAUAAUACUGAACAAGUUGCGUGACAAAAAUACAUUUACAUUAC